ACUACAUCAUUGCCAUAAUGAACAGAAGCAUUUUGCCAGCAAUAUCCUUAAGAAUCCAAACAUAUGAAUUGCUACCAUAGAAGAAUGUGUAGGAAAGCAGUUAGCAUUUUCUCUUUACCCCGACAAUCAAUAUGAAACAAUGAUGAUGAAACCCUUUUGAAAAGAAUUUGGACUAUCACCUCUUUCCAACCAAAUAGAUCCAAAGAAACAUUUUCAGAAUAUAUUUGAGCAGGACGACAACAAGAAACUCCCAAGUGUAGUGGGAUAAUCUGUUUCUUUUUAUUCAGAAAUAUCCUUUAUUUUUGUUUCUUCCAAAGAUUUCCAUUGACUACAGGGGAUGUUGGACUCAGGCCCUACUGCACAUGUGCUUCCUGAUGGUCUCCUCUGAUGGCACCUUACCACUGAGUUCAUAACUAGGUAGCUCACUCUGAAUGGAUACCAGCAACAUUCUCGGAGGUGGAUGCUACUCCAGGAUCUCCAAUAAUCUGCAUAGAUCUCAGAAGGGGACAGAACAUGAAGCUGGUCUGUAUGGGAGCAAACCAUCUCCACUUCACUGAAAGAGUUGGGAGGAAAUUCCACAAGUUACUGACUCUUACAUGGGUUAUUUCUGUAUAAGGGGAAUCAGGAACAGACGGCCUUCCAUAGCAUGUGGAGAUGGGGGGUUUGACUGAGCAACGUUUACCCACACUGGUGAACUUUUACUCACACAAGUAGCUCCGUUGGAAACUGGAGCUUCAGUGGGGCUAUAUAGGUGGUGUUCCAGGACGUCUGCAGGUAACAGCAUGGAUCUCCUGUAGCUGCCACGACUGUUCCUUCUCCUUGCUCCUGAGCGCCUGGCCUGAACUUGGCUUGAUUUGGACGUCACCUCCUGAUUCAGAGCCUGAAACCUGACUCGGACUCUGCCCCUCAGAAUUGCCCGGUCUUGGAACCCAAUUACCAACCGCCUCGGUUACUCCCAGCCUCAGGAUUGCCCCUGCUCCAGCCCUAGGCCCUGACUGCCCUUGCUGGGACCCUGACAGUGAAUGAGUGACUUGUGUGAGACUCAGUAGGGACAACUGAAGGUUUUAAAACUAUUAGUACAGGUGCUUCUUUGGAGAGACAGAUUUAGGGACCUAAUGAGGUCAUGCUCUCAUUGGUGAAGAAGUCGGUGAAGUUGAGUCAAGGUAUUUUUUUUUGUUCUAUUUGUUUAUUUACAAAAUGUUCACAGAUCGCAAUUUCUUGAAUAGAGGUGGUGACCCAGUUGCACAGAGGCAAGUUCCCAUUGCAGAAACCUUUGCUGAAGCGCCACUACCCAGUCCCCAAGAAGCAGCUGUUUUGGGCUGUCCUGGUAUCUCACAGUUUAAUCACAUGCAACCCGUCCUUACACAUAGGAGAACCCUCAUCUAGGGCUUUUCAAGAAGAAACAUAGGGUCCUGAAAGCUGGCUUUGCCAUUAAUCCUCCUUUUUCACAGCAGCUCUGCAAUACAAAGGAACUGCUGAAAAUGCUUCACUGUCCAUCAAAGAGGUAUUUGCCCUACACAAUUCCCUUAACAACUGUCUGGAUUAGGUGAGUUUCAUUGUGAGUGUUUAUACAUCAAUGGCUAACAACAUGCAUGAUGUUAGCAUCUGCUGAAAUAAAAGUACUAAACUUAUUUCCUGAGCAUUUUAAAAUUAUCUUGCUAUGCAAUAGAAAGCAGUAAUAGUCAUAAUCCUAACAAUAUUCUAGAGCCUGCCAAGUAAAGACGUUGUCCUUGUGUUUAUAGGAUUUUAUAACAUUUUUUCUUGUGCCUGAAAUAUUAAGGGGUCUAUUGUGCCUCUGCCUAAUGUUGAAGAUACCAUGUAUCCGCACCACCCCAGGGAGUGCUAGCGCCAGGAGCUCUGCCGAGAUCCAGCUGGUGUGAAGUGUAUUGUGGUUCUUUACGCUAACAGGGUGUAGGGUACUCCCCUGCUCACAUCUGCUCAAGUCUACAACCUGGUGAAUGGUGGGGUCAGAGGAGUGUCAAGGCCACGGCUGCAUUUCCUCCUUGCCCUCUUUGGGGGUGAUGUGUACUCAAGUUCUGCAGCUGUGCCCACUGCUGCAUAGAGGCACAAGGGAGCAGGGCUCCCACAGAGCACAAGACAGAAUCUGACUGCAAAAUAACAUCGAAUCAUCGAAAUGUAGGGAUGGAAGGGACAUCGAGAGGUCAUCUAAUCCAGCCCCCUGCAUGAGCCACAUGAUGCUAGAUCCUAGUAAACCUAGAUGACCCCUUACAGGUGUUUGUCUAACCUGUUCUUAAAAACCCUCCAGUGAUGGGGAUUCUACAACCUCCUUGGUAGCCUAUUCCUGUACUUAACUAUCCUUACCAUUAGAAAAUGUUUCCUAAUAGCUAACCUAAAUCUCCCUUGCUGUAGAGUAAGCUGAUUACCUACCUUCAGCGAAGAUGGAGAACAAUCUAAUCAUCAUCCUUUUUUAUAACAGCCAUUAACAUAUUUACAGACUUAUCAGGUCUCCCCUCAGUCUUCUUCUCUCAAGACUAAACAUGCCCUUUUUUUUAAACCUUUCCUCGUAGAUAAGAUUUUCUAAACCGUUUAUAAUUUUUGCUGCUCGUCUCUGGAUUAUUUCCAAUUUGUCCACAUCUUUCUUAAUGUAUGGUGCCCAGAACUAGACACACUAGUCCAGCUGAGGCUUCACCAGUGCCAAGUAGAGUGGGAAAGUGAGCUCCCGUGUCUUGCACACAGCACACUUGUUAAUACUCCCCAGAAUGAGAUCAGCCUUUUUAGCAACUAUAUCACAUGGUUGACUCAUACUCAAUCAGCGAUCCACUCUAACCCCCUUUCUGCAGCACUACUGCCUUGCCAGUUAUUCCCCAUUUCGUAUAUGCGCAUUUGACUUUUUUCCUUCCUAAGUGGAGUAUUUUGCAUUUGUCUUUAUUGAAUUUAAUCUUGUUAUUUCAGACCAAUUCACCAGUUUGUUGAGAUGAUUUUGAAUUCUAAUUCUGUCCUCCAAAGUGCUUGCAGCCCCCUCCCAGUUGGGUGUCAUUCUCCACUCCAUAUUCAGUGUUUUAAUUAACAGUAACAUUGACUAGUACUGGACCCACGUCAUCUAUCCCGCCCCAUUGUCUCUAAAUCCCCCAGUUACAGCUUUUAGUUUGCUUUGUUCUGUGACCUCUCCCACAGUUAUUUCCACAGAGAUGAGAAGUGUCUUCUGAAAUGUCGGUUCUGUGUUUCCCAAUCCAUUAAUUUGACUAACCAGUUGAUGGUUCCCGUUUUUCCUGUAUUUUUUUUGUUUGAAAGUUCCAGAUAGACAAUAUUGUCUCUCAAUCCCACUGACAUAUCUUAUACCAAAAAUUCCCCCCUAGCCCUACACACACACACACAUUCACUCUUCUACCUUUAUAUCUAGCUUUAGUACCAUGCUUUUGCAUGUUAAAUUGUCCUAGCUAGAGGGCUAACAUUUGUAUUUCUUUAGAUUUUAGCUUAGUCUACUCUACCACAGAUAUUAAUUAAUGACAGAUUAAUAUUGAUCUGUCACAGGAAGUGAGAAACUGCAAAGACUCUCCAAAAAAUCAGAAAAAGUCUGAGAAUUGCUAACUAAAUAAUACAAUGAGAUAGCUAACAGUGUCAGAGGAGUCAUUCCUGGACUUAAAGAACGUUAAGUAACUCAAGAUGAAUUCCCAGGGACUGGGGUAUAUAGCAGAUUAUUAUUAACACUGACUGUUUGGAGUAAAGUGUAAAAUACCUUUUUAAUAUAGCCUUUCCUCAGCAAUGACUCUCAUAAAAAGUGUAAAAACCCCACACAUUCACAGGAGCCAGGGGAAAGAAAGAAAAACAGCUCUGUAGAAUUUUUUUUGUCUGCGUCAUAACUGUUGUUCUGCACUUAUAUACUAAGAUGACAGGUACCUGUAAAUACCUAUGAGAUUUUAAAUAUAUAUAAGAGAAGACCUAAACCCCUGAUUGCCAGAAGCUGGGAGUAGACAACAGUCGAUGGAUCACUUGAUGACUGCCUGUUCUGUUCAUUCCCUCUGAAGCACCUGGCGUUGUCCACUUUCGGCAGACAGAAUAUUAGGCUAGGUGGACAAUUGGUCUGACCCAAUAUGGCCAUUCUCAUGUAAGCUAUUAACAUUAAAACUGCUAUAAUUUUUUUCUACCUGUGGUAGGUGAUUUCCCUGAAAAUUAAGGUUAACAUUAAGGUAUCUUAUAAAAGCUGGUUGUUUAAAUUAAUCUUAUGUAACCUAUUCUCUGGCAUAUUUUUCCUUCUAACUAUAAUUAAGUUUAUAUUUGCCAGAUUACUCAUGCUGUGUUUAAUUGUCUAUGAAAUAGUUAUUUACUGCUCACAAUAAAAGCAACAUAGUUGGUGGUUUUGAAAUAAACUAAAUUCAACUUAUUUUUUAAAUAAAAUGUGGGGAAAAAACUUUAAUUCUUGCUU